rnacentral:rRNA from 1 species
UACGGUAGGUGGCAAGCGUUGUCCGGAAUUGUUGGGCGUAAAGCGCGCGCAGGCGGCCUCUUAAGUCUGAUGUGAAAGCCCCCGGCUCAACCGGGGAGGGCCAUUGGAAACUGGGAGGCUUGAGUAUAGGAGAGAAGAGUGGAAUUCCACGUGUAGCGGUGAAAUGCGUAGAGAUGUGGGAGAACACCAGUGGCGAAGGCGACUCUUUGGCCUAUAACUGACGCUGAGGCGCGAAAGCGUGGGGAGCAAACAGG